CUUUGUUCUGUUUAAAGAAAUUACUGCAUAAGUUCAAAAAGGAGCCAUAGACCUGCUUACAACACAGAAAUCCGGCACUACCAGUGAUGCUCUGACAGUGAAUAUGAGAGUGGGAAUUGCUAGAGCUGAAACCAUAAAUGAGACUAAGAAGAGACCCAUGUAAUUGGAAGUUCACAAAGACAGCGAUCAACAAACCAGCAGAAUUAUCGAUGAAGAACUGUUCUCUGGUGUUUAAAAUGUGUCUUUGCAUUUUCUGUAUAACUGGAUCCUAGCUCAUUAAGGG